CAAAAAGAAUAUGCAAAAUGAUGGACCUAAUCUCAUCCAUACUCAUGUUGAUUUUGCAAUCAACUAGCCUUAGGAUAAAGAGAUGUCAUAGGUCCAUGACAGAAUGAAUAAAGAAGGGGAAUGAGAUGAAGAGGGAGGGGGACUGGAAUCGACACAAAUUGGUCAAAGGAGGACUUUUACCAAAUUAAGAUCAUUCAUUCAUUUUGAGAGAUGAAAUGUACAUUUCAUCAAUCCCCUAAAUCCAAUGAUCUUAACUCAACAAAGUCAAAUCAAC
rnacentral:lncRNA from 1 species